AAACUUUCAACAACGGAUCUCUUGGUUCUCGCAUCGAUGAAGAACGCAGCGAAUUGCGAUACGUAAUAUGACUUGCAGACGUGAAUCAUUGAAUCUUUGAACGCACAUUGCGCCCCGGGGUAUUCC